UUCAGAAGCUUCCUCAAAGGUGGAGGAUGUCUAUGCCCUUGAGUUGAAUGUCAAGGGUCUCAAAAGUUUGAGUGAUUACCUCAGCUUGGAGCAUCUCAAUGGGGACAAUCAGUAUUUUUGUGGGAGCUGCGAUGCUAGAGUUGACGCCAGCCACACGCUGCAUUAAGCUGCGCACACUACCUCCUGUUAUCACUUUUCAGCUCAAGCCAUGUGUUUUUCUCCCAAAGGGUUCUUUACGACUCAUUUCUUGUGGUUUGCAUAAAAAUUGAAUCUUAGAUAAGACAUUAUUGUUGAAGUUGAUUAAACUCUUCCUUUAUAUUUUUGUCUGGAUCAUGUCAACAGACUACUGCUAAGAAGAAAAUUACAUCCUCGUUUUCCUUUCCUCAAGUGCUGGAUAUGAGAUCGAGAUUGGCAGAGUCUUCUGAGAUCCACAAAGGAAGCGCUGUGAAAAGUGGACACUACGUUUGUCACAUCAAAGAUGAAAAGACUGGCUUGUGGUGGAAAUUUGACGAUGAGCAAGUGUCAGAACUGGGUACACAUCCAUCCAUUCAUUGAAGGCUCUUCUUCAACUCCAAAGUCCGAGAGUAAUGGUGCCUCUAGUAGUGGGAACACCUCUGAGGCAGAGGUUUUCUCAUCCACUGAUGCUUAUAUGCUGAUUUAUAGUCUUCGGUCCAGUAAACUAGAAAGUCGGGAAGGACAAAGAGAGAAUCCUAUUGACAUAACUAAAGGAGAUGUUGAUCUUCCGCCACAUCUCGAUGAAUGGAUGAGUUACCUGAACGCAACAAUACUUUGACUGAAAGGAGGCAAGAAGUACGAACAAUACUUUCAGAAGCUGCUGUUCAGUCACUUGAAGAACAAUACUUUUGGAUCUCCACAGAUUGGCUUCGUCUAUGGUCUGAUACCACAGCACCCCGUUACUGUGUUCCCACGGGAAAGUUCUUGCCUCAAAAAUUACUUGCAUGAAGCGUAUAUCUGAACUUGCAUGGACCAAGUUGGAAUCAAAGAGGUAUGCAAUAUUCUUUCUGAGGUUGCUGACGUCGAGGAUGCACUGAGGUUAACCAUGUUUUAUUGUUGUCUCUAGUACCCCCUUCGAAUCCAACUGGUAUUCACUCUAGAACGUGGCAUUCGUGAUUCAACAGUUUGUUUGGUACGGUAAUAUAACCAACUGUUUCGGUCGUUUUUUUUCCGUUUACCAACUAUUUUGUAAUUACCCUAAGCAAGAUUAGACCGGUUGGUGAGCAA